rnacentral:rRNA from 1 species
UACAGAGGGUGCAAGCGUUGUUCGGAAUCAUUGGGCGUAAAGCGCACGUAGGCGGCCUGCUAAGUCGGAUGUGAAAGCCCAGGGCUCAACCCUGGAAGUGCAUUCGAAACUGGCGAGCUUGAAUGUCGGAGAGGGCAGUGGAAUUCCGAGUGUAGAGGUGAAAUUCGUAGAUAUUCGGAGGAACACCAGUGGCGAAGGCGACUGCCUGGACGAACAUUGACGCUGAGGUGCGAAAGCGUGGGGAGCAAACAGG